CCUACGGGGGGCAGCAGUCGGGAAUAUUGCGCAAUGGGGGAAACUCUGACGCAGCGACGCCGCGUAUAGGAUGAAGGUUUUCGGAUUGUAAACUCUUUUCGUUAGGGAAGAUAUUGACAGUACCUCAGGAGGAAGCUCCGGCUAACUCUGUGCCAGCAGCCGCGGUAAUACAUAGGGAGCAAGCGUUAUCCGGAUUUAUUGGGUGUAAAGGGUGCGUAGACGGGAAAUUAAGUUAGUUGUGAAAUCCCUCGGCUUAACUGAGGAACUGCAUCUAAAACUGUUUUUCUUGAGUACUGGAGAGGAAG
rnacentral:rRNA from 1 species